CGGCAGGCCUAACACAUGCAAGUCGAGCGGAUGAGUGGAGCUUGCUCCAUGAUUCAGCGGCGGACGGGUGAGUAAUGCCUAGGAAUCUGCCUGGUAGUGGGGGACAACGUUUCGAAAGGAACGCUAAUACCGCAUACGUCCUACGGGAGAAAGCAGGGGACCUUCGGGCCUUGCGCUAUCAGAUGAGCCUAGGUCGGAUUAGCUAGUUGGUGGGGUAAAGGCCUACCAAGGCGACGAUCCGUAACUGGUCUGAGAGGAUGAUCAGUCACACUGGAACUGAGACACGGUCCAGACUCCUACGGGAGGCAGCAGUGGGGAAUAUUGGACAAUGGGCGAAAGCCUGAUCCAGCCAUGCCGCGUGUGUGAAGAAGGUCUUCGGAUUGUAAAGCACUUUAAGUUGGGAGGAAGGGCAGUAAGUUAAUACCU
rnacentral:rRNA from 1 species